rnacentral:rRNA from 1 species
UGGGGAAUAUUGCACAAUGGGCGCAAGCCUGAUGCAGCCAUGCCGCGUGUAUGAAGAAGGCCUUCGGGUUGUAAAGUACUUUCAGCGGGGAGGAAGGGAGUAAAGUUAAUACCUUUGCUCAUUGACGUUACCCGCAGAAGAAGCACCGGCUAACUCCGUGCCAGCAGCCGCGGUAAUACGGAGGGUGCAAGCGUUAAUCGGAAUUACUGGGCGUAAAGCGCACGCAGGCGGUUUGUUAAGUCAGAUGUGAAAUCCCCGGGCUCAACCUGGGAACUGCAUCUGAUACUGGCAAGCUUGAGUCUCGUAGAGGGGGGUAGAAUUCCAGGUGUAGCGGUGAAAUGCGUAGAGAUCUAGAGGAAUACCGGUGGCGAAGGCGGCCCCCUGGACAAAGACUGACGCUCAGGUGCGAAAGCGUGGGGAGCAAACAGG